AACGAAGCAAACCUAGGGUUCCUCCCCCAUUCUGCCGACUGCGCUUUCCAGGGAAGCGCCGUUGGCCCUCAGCCGAAGGCAAUUAUCCCCGUCGUACUCGCCUCUGUCCACCGGUCGCUCCGCCUCUCUGUCUCUUCCCUUCUCCCUCUCUCAUCGCUCCUCUCGGUUGCGCUGCCAUCACUGGUCAUGGAGGUUCUCUGCCGUCUCAAUCUAUCUGUCUCACUAAUCUUUCUCUCAUCUGUUUUCUCUCUUUGAUCGGCUGAGAGAUUUCCCCAAAGGACAGCAUUCGCAUCGUCAAGAGGUAUCACAAACUGGAUCGCAAAGAGUUCACGAAGGUAGCGGUCCAUACAGCGAUCGAGUUCGUGGUGAUGGGAUUCGUAGGGUUCUUUGUGCGGCUGGUUUUCAUUGCUUUUAACAUCAUUGUUGUUGGAUCUGUUUGAGAAGGAUUAAAUUCAUGCGUCGGAUUUGGAAUUAGAAAUUUUUCUUGCUGCAAAACCUUGAUUAAGAGGUUGUUGCAGAAUUAAAUUGGGAGUGCAGGAGGUUAAGAGAUGGCCGUGGGCCUUGGGGUGUAUCGUGCUCUGGAACAAGUAAAUUGUGUUCUGGAUCGGAAUUCCCGCCCUCUCGAUAAUGGCUGCUCUUCUUUAUUUUUGUGCAGCCCAGUUUUACAAAAUUCAACCCUGCCCGGAAGUCUUUCUGAACGAUAUAAAGAUCAUGAAACAAACAAAUUUGGGAAGCAAUUUAGUGGGUAGGUCUAAAUGAUGUGGCAGGUUUGGGAAAUAUUCAAAUUAAUGCGGCGAGGAUGCCUGGUAUAUCGGUGUUCGUAGAUGUAAUGCUCCUAUCCUUGGGCUGACCCGAAAAAGUAAAGUCGUAGCAAGUCAAAAAGUUAGUAGCUCACAUUAAUUUGGACCAUAUUUUUAGUUGUACGAAAUAUUGAGGUUCAUUAAACCGUAAUUUUCUGAA